GAUGAACGCUGACAGAAUGCUUAACACAUGCAAGUCUUUGGCGAAGCUGUGCUUUCCCAGCCUAGCCAAGGCGGACGGGUGAGUAACGCGUAAGGAACUUGCCCUGCAGUCAGGGAUAACAGACGGAAACGACUGAUAAGACCUGGUAAAGUCAGGCGGACUCAUGUCCAGCCUGAUGAAAAGAGAUGCUGCAGGAGAGCCUUGCGUCCUAUUAGCUUGUUGGUGGGGUAACGGCCCACCAAGGCGAUGAUAGGUAGCCGGCCUGAGAGGGUGGACGGCCACAAGGGGACUGAGAUACGGCCCUUACUCCUACGGGAGGCAGCAGUGGGGAAUAUUGGACAAUGGGGGCAACCCUGAUCCAGCAAUUCUGUGUGCACGAUGAAGGUUUUCGGAUUGUAAAGUGCUUUCAGCAGGGAAGAAAAAAAUGACGGUACCUGCAGAAGAAGCGACGGCUAAAUACGUG
rnacentral:rRNA from 1 species